rnacentral:rRNA from 1 species
UACGUAGGGUGCAAGCGUUGUCCGGAAUUACUGGGCGUAAAGAGCUCGUAGGUGGUUUGUCGCGUUGUUCGUGAAAACUCACAGCUCAACUGUGGGCGUGCGGGCGAUACGGGCAGACUAGAGUACUGCAGGGGAGACUGGAAUUCCUGGUGUAGCGGUGGAAUGCGCAGAUAUCAGGAGGAACACCGGUGGCGAAGGCGGGACUCUGGGCCGAUACUGACGCUGAGGAGCGAAAGCGUGGGGAGCGAACAGG